CACACAGGCGGCUGUGCAGGACACACACCCGCGGCAGCGCACUGCAGAAGGCUCCGGGGAGAAGCCACUCGCUGCGGUGCCACCAGGAGCAGCGCGGUGCUCAGCCGUGCCGCCUCCUGCACCGGGCUCUCCAGACACGGGCUGCACUCGGAGCACGCGAUGCUCCCGAGGAGCUUCAGGAACGGCUCACGAGCCACGACAGGUACUGUGCAAGUGACACCAUCACGCACAGCCCACGUGCACAAGCGAUACCCGUGACCAGAUGCAGCAGCGCUGCCCGUCCCACUGCAACACCAGCCACGAGAAAUACGGUCAUAGUGUGACGGGAGCGAGACGGGAAACAGGGAACGGCUACACCUCCUGCAAAGUAACAGCAUAACUAGGUUCUUCCAGCAACGCUAUCGAAUGAUUUUCUGCGGCAAACACCCAACGUGUCGCCCAUGUCCCGGCUCAGCCCCUGGACCCACCUGCUGCCGCUUCCAGCCUCCCAGCCUGCAGGAACCAAGCGCUUCCCACAAAGCCACGUAAAACCCUCAACAACCUCUAAGCACCUUCAAACCUUGUGCCAACCAAAGCAGCUACCUGGGGAGCCCCUGGAGAGACAGAGGCCAGCGCUGCAAAUAAACACCACAGAAAGACUUUCAAAGGAGGAAUAAAGGAGGAAAAACCCCCCAGCUCUUGUGUUUGAGGGCUGGCCAGGGAUCAGCGGGGACUUCUGAACCCCGGGGUCAGCAGAACACAGAACCUCUGCCUAAACUCCCACUAUUCCUAACUAAAACACUUCUAAUCUCUUUCUCGAGGGCAACACUUAGUACACACUCAGAGGCGCCAAAAUGUCACCCAAGGUCCCCCCAACAAGCCUGGGCCAUGCUGGAGUCAAACAAACCUCCUGCCCGGCCUCCUGCUCACACAAACAUCCCAACCCUUUUGAGGCAUUUCUUUACAGUUACGUUCCCUGCGCAAGUUUAUUAAAAAAAGUGUGGUUUAUGGAUUUAAUUAAAGUACCGCAUAUGAGACCUUGCUAAUCCUGUUCAUGCUGCAACUGUAUUAAAGCGCUAAAAAUCAAUAUAUUUGAGCUUAAAUAUUUUAUUAUGGCAAGCUGUUAAAUAUUAAUGACGUAACAAGCAAUCAGUGUCACCAUUUCUGCCUCUUCCAUAGGAAACGUGCAGGAAGUUAGAAAAAAAAGGAGCAAUAUCUCUGCUUGGUUUGAUGGCCGGGCAGCUGGGUUUUCCUCAGUCCACAAAACAAAUGUCACCGGUGAUUCACGCAAGUCACAAAAGCACCUUCCCCUGGCUGCUCCCCCUUGUCACAGGGGAUGGGGACACGGGGCAGCAGAGUGGUGGCAGGGACCUGCUGGAAAAGCAGCGCUGUGCUGCUCCAAAGGUCACCGCCCGC